AUUGAACGCUGGCGGCAUGCCUUACACAUGCAAGUCGAACGGCAGCACGGGAGCAAUCCUGGUGGCGCGUGGCGAACGGGUGAGUAAAGUACCGGAACGUGCCCCGUCGUGGGGGAUAACGUAGCGAAAGUUACGCUAAUACCGCAUACGACUCAUGGCUGAACGCCGGGGAUCGCAAGACCUCGCGCGAUUGGACCGGACGAUAUCAGAUUAGGUAGUUGGUGGGGGAAAGGCUCACCAAGCCGCCGAUCUGUAGCUGGUAUGAGAGGACGACCAGCAACACUGGGACUGAGACACGGCCCAGACUCCUACGGGAGGCAGCAGUGGGGAAUUUUGGACAAUGGGCGAAAGCCUGAUCCAGCCAUGCCGCGUGCAGGAUGAAGGCCUUCGGGUUGUAAACUGCUUUUGGACGGAACGAAAAGGUUUGGCCUAAUAAGCUGAGUUAAUGACGUUACCGUAAGAAUAAGCACCGGCUAACUACGUGCCAGCCGCCGCCGUAA
rnacentral:rRNA from 1 species